rnacentral:rRNA from 1 species
CCUACGGGAGGCAGCAGUGAGGAAUAUUGGUCAAUGGGCGCGAGCCUGAACCAGCCAAGUAGCGUGAAGGAUGACUGCCCUACGGGUUGUAAACUUCUUUUAUAAAGGAAUAAAGUGCGGCACGUGUGCCUUUUUGCAUGUACUUUAUGAAUAAGGAUCGGCUAACUCCGUGCCAGCAGCCGCGGUAAUACGGAGGAUCCGAGCGUUGUCCGGAUUUAUUGGGGUUAAAGGGAGCGUAGAUGGGUUGUUAAGUCAGGUGUGAAAGUUUUGGGCUCAACCGUAGAAUUGCAUUUGAUACUGGCAGCCUGGAGUGCAUUUGAGGUAGGCGGAAUUCGUGGUGUAGCGGUGAAAUGCAUAGAUAUCACGAAGAACUCCGAUUGCGAAGGCAGCAUACUAAACUGCAACUGACAUUGAUGCUCGAAAGUGUGGGUAUCGAACAGGAGUAGAUACCCUUGUAGUC